UACGUAGGGUGCAAGCGUUUAAUCGGAAUUACUGGGCGUAAAGCGUGCGCAGGCGGUUUUGUAAGUCUGACGUGAAAUCCCCGGGCUCAACCUGGGAAUUGCGUUUGGAGACUGCAAGGCUGGAGUCUGGCAGAGGGGGGGUAGAAUUCCACGUGUAGCAGUGAAAUGCGUAGAGAUGUGGAGGAACACCGAUGGCGAAGGCAGCCCCCUGGGUCAAGAUUGACGCUCAUGCACGAAAGGCGUGGGGAGCAAACGGAUGA
rnacentral:rRNA from 1 species